rnacentral:rRNA from 1 species
GAUGAACGCUAGCGGCAGGCCUAAUACAUGCAAGUCGAACGGUGUCUUCGGACAUAGUGGCGCACGGGUGCGUAACACGUAUGCAACCUACCUUACAUUGGGGGAUAGCCUUUCGAAAGGGAGAUUAAUACCGCAUAAGACAGUAGCUGGGCAUCCAGCAGCUGUUAAAGAUUUAUCGAUGUAAGCUGGGCAUGCGUCCAAUUAGCUAGUUGGUGAGGUAACGGCUCACAAAGGCAAUGAUUGGUAGGGGAACUGAGAGGUCAAUCCCCCACAAGGGCACUGGGCUACGGGCCAGACUCCUACGGGAGGCAGCAGUAGGGAAUAUUGGGCAAUGGACGCAAGUCUGACCCAGCCAUGCCGCGUGCAGGAUGAAGGCGUUAUGCGUUGUAAACUGCUUUUAUACAGGAAGAAACGACUCUUGCGAGAGGCAUUGACGGUACUGUAUGAAUAAGCACCGGCUAACUCCGUGCCAGCAGCCGCAGUAACAC